UACAGAGGUGGCAAGCGUUGUUCGGAAUUACUGGGCGUAAAGGGCGCGUAGGCGGUUUGUUAAGUCCUGUGUGAAAUCCCCCGGCUCAACUGGGGAACUGCACAGGAAACUAGCGGGCUUGAGUUCGGGAGAGGGAAGCGGAAUUCCGGGUGUAGCGGUGAAAUGCGUAGAUAUCCGGAGGAACACCGGUGGCGAAGGCGGCUUCCUGGACCGACACUGACGCUGAGGCGCGAAAGCUAGGGGAGCAAACGGG
rnacentral:rRNA from 1 species